AGUGAACGCUGGCGGUAGGCCUAACACAUGCAAGUCGAACGGCAGCACAGUAAGAGCUUGCUCUUACGGGUGGCGAGUGGCGGACGGGUGAGGAAUACAUCGGAAUCUACUUUUUCGUGGGGGAUAACGUAGGGAAACUUACGCUAAUACCGCAUACGACCUACGGGUGAAAGCAGGGGAUCUUCGGACCUUGCGCGAUUGAAUGCGCCGAUGUCGGAUUAGCUAGUUGGCGGGGUAAAGGCCCACCAAGGCGACGAUCCGUAGCUGGUCUGAGAGGAUGAUCGGCCACACUGGAACUGAGACACGGUCCAGACUCCUACGGGAGGCAGCAGUGGGGAAUAUUGGACAAUGGGCGCAAGCCUGAUCCAGCCAUACCGCGUGGGUGAAGAAGGCCUUCGGGUUGUAAAGCCCUUUUGUUGGGAAAGAAAAGCAGCAGGUUAAUACCCCGCUGUUCUGACGGUACCCAAAGAAUAAGCACCGGCUAACUUCGUG
rnacentral:rRNA from 1 species